UGAAGAAAGCUUUGGUAGCACCUUUCAAGAACAAAGUAAAAAAUAAUAUUGUGAAUAACCAGAAGCCCCAGUGUUCAAAUAUAACAUAGAAUGUAUAUUAAACAACAAAUCCCAGAUAAGAACAACCUCACGUGUAAAUACUUAUGUUGAUGAAAAGAAAAAAUAACUAAACAUAUUCAUAUAGUUAAACAUAGAAUAGUUUCACAACAUUUUUCAUGCACCUAACAGCCAUACUAUCCCCCAUUCACAGCAAUAGUCACCAUGCACCUGAUUUAAAUACCGAAACAAAUAGUAAACUAAUUCAUGUAGAGAAAGAUAUUGCUGAAAACAACGAAAGGCAACCUUACAAUUCACAUGUAACCAUAAACGAGCGUUGUAAAAUUACUUGGGUGAGCAUACUUAAAGCUGGUGGCAACAAAUCAAUAAAAAUAUCUCUGAAAAGAUUGCAGGGCAUUUCAACCAACACAACUACACCAUUUAGUCAGAUAAAGUCAUAUAAAUCAUAUGUACCUCUCGUAAUUCCAUUGUGGCA
rnacentral:misc_RNA from 1 species